CACGGGGGGAGCAAGCGUUGUUCGGAUUCAUUGGGCGUAAAGGGCUCGUAGGUGGCUUUGUAAGUCGGAGGUGAAAUCCCACGGCUCAACCGUGGACACGCCUUCGAAACUGUGAAGCUUGAGGCUGGGAGAGGAGAUCGGAAUUCCUGGUGUAGCGGUGAAAUGCGUAGAUAUCUGGAGGAACACCGGUGGCGAAGGCGGCAUCCUGGACCGGUAUUGACGCUGAGGCGCGAAAGCCAGGGGAGCAAACGGG
rnacentral:rRNA from 1 species